rnacentral:rRNA from 1 species
UGGAAGUACGGGCAAGCCGAGGCGGUAAGAGGUGGGGGUGGUGGUUUGGCCGGAAGUAUGAGGGGGAAGGAGCUGUUAGGGGGUGUGUGGGGUGUGCAGGGAAAAUCCGGUGCGCAAACCCGGAUUGGCUGUGGGUACGGGCAGACUAGAGGAUGGUAGGGGAGACCGGAAUUCCUGGUGGAGCGGUGGAAUGCGCAGAUAUCAGGAGGAACACCGAUGGCGAAGGCAGGUCUCUGGGCCAUAACUGACGCUGAGAAGCGAAAGCAUGGGGAGCGAACAGGAUUAGAUACCCGUUUAGUC